AGGUUGCUGUGUUCUUGGUCAUCACUGCAGUAGCUGAAAACUUGCUUUCAUGGGCCAGACAAGGCAAAAGCCAGAGCUGGGAGAUGUGCACUGACUGCCUGGUAUGGACACACUUGCAAGGACAAACUCGGUGCCUUCAAAGAAACUACCUGACGCUGGAUCAGCGUUCUCUGUCUGUCCAGUUUUGAAUUCCUAUUUUCAUGCUGAAGCUGCAACACCAGCUCCCUCCAAGUUCAAGAGGUUUAAUGAAUCCUGCUCUGGGAGCCCAUCGGCGUGAGGGCGGCGUGCCCCGUGGAGGUGCUGAGCUGGUGAUGCCGAG